CAAUAGCGUAUAUUAAAGUUGUUGCAGUUAAAAAGCUCGUAGUUGGAUUUCUGGUACAAUGCGCCUGGCCCGCGGCGGUUACGUCUGUGAGUGCCGGUGCGCGUUUGCCAUCCUUCUAGAAAACGUUUCUACCCUUCACUGGGCCGGACUCGCGAUCUAGAUCUUUUACUUUGAAAAAUUAGAGUGUUCAAAGCAGGCGUUUGCUUGAAUAUAUUAGCAUGGAAUAAUGGAAUAGGACGCUGGUUCUAUUUUGUUGGUUUUGUAGAACCAGAGUAAUGAUUAAUAGGGACAGUUGGGGGCGAUUCAUAUUUCAUUGUCAGAGGUGAAAUUCUUGGAUUUAUGAAAGAUGAACUUCUGCGAAAGCAUUUGCCAAGGAUGUUUUCUAUUAAUCAAGAACGAAAGUUAGGGGA
rnacentral:rRNA from 1 species